CAAUAUAUAUAUUCAACAUUUUCUUUCCUAUUUCCGUACAUUUUGUAUUUUCCUCGUUCGUGGUAAUUAGUUUUUAUUAGCACAAUGAGCAAACGAUCACGUACCGAAAUAGAAGUUCAAUUUCUUAGCGACUGUGUAUACUCUGCGUUAGUCAAAUCUGGAUACUCAAAGCUUCCUUUCUACAGUGUUUCGGAGGGUGACAGUUCCUUCGCUUAAGUACACCAAGACUUCUUUUGAGAUGAGGAUAAGAAUUAGGACCGGUGUCCAGCUUUCCCUGUACGAAAGACAGAAAUUCGAAGGGUGACAGUUCCAUCUCUUAAAUACACCAAAACUUCAUUUGAG